rnacentral:piRNA from 1 species
UUGCCAUGAUAACAGGGUGUCCUGAACUGGU